CUACGGGGGGCUGCAGUGGGGAAUAUUGGACAAUGGGGGAAACCCUGAUCCAGCAAUGCCGCGUGUGUGAAGAAGGCCUGCGGGUUGUAAAGCACUUUCGGUUGGGAGGACUGCUUCUAGCACUAAUAUUGUUGGAAGUUGACGUUACCUUCAGAAGAAGCACCGGCUAACUCCGUGCCAGCAGCCGCGGUAAUACGGGGGGUGCAAGCGUUAAUCGGAAUUACUGGGCGUAAAGCGCGCGUAGGUGGUUAGAUCAGUUGGGUGUGAAAGCCCCGGGCUUAACCUGGGAACUGCAUCCGAUACUGUCUAGCUUGAGUACAGGAGAGGGGAGUGGAAUUCCACAUGUAGCGGUGAAAUGCGUAGAGAUGUGGAGGAACACCAAUGGCGAAGGCAGCUCUCUGGCCUGAUACUGACGCUGAGGUGCGAAAGCGUGGGGAGCAAACAGGAUUAGAUACCCCCGUAGUC
rnacentral:rRNA from 1 species